rnacentral:rRNA from 1 species
UACGGGGGGGGCAAGCGUUGUUCGGAAUUACUGGGCGUAAAGCGCGCGUAGGCGGUGAUCUUUGUCAGAGGUGAAAGCCCGGGGCUCAACUCCGGAAUUGCCUUUGAAACGGGAUUGCUUGAGUCCGAGAGAGGAUGGCGGAAUUCCUAGUGUAGAGGUGAAAUUCGUAGAUAUUAGGAAGAACACCGGUGGCGAAGGCGGCCAUCUGGCUCGGUACUGACGCUCAGGCGCGAAAGCGUGGGGAGCAAACAGG